AUUAACGAUUUUGUAGUUAAAACAAUUUUUUAAAGUGUGUAAAAUUUUGCGUAAGAAAUUAGAACAGUUUGAAUCGUCCGCGCAAUUUUAUUAUUAGUUCAACAAUUUGUCAACCUGUGUCGCUAUAAGCGAUCAUAUCAAGAUGGCGACAGUAGUUCACAUUUGACGGAUGCCGUUGGUCGCAUGGAAAUUCGGGGCACACCCUGACCGUUAAAUUGUACAAAGUGUGAUAUCAUCAGAUUUGAUGUUCGAUUAUUGUGAAAUCUUUGUGUAAAGAACUUGCUGGUAAUCCUGGAACGGAAUAACAGGACGGCUUACGCAUACGGUGAUCCGAGUCGGAGCAGAUUAUAACAUUGCGUGACUGGCGUAAUUAUCUUCACGUUGAACCUGCUGCCGUGUAGCUGCGCCGUCGUAUAUGGCAUUAAAUUCCAGUUAUCGACCUCGUAAGAUCGUUUUUUUAUUUCCAUGGAAUCGAAAUUAAUUCGAUUCGUUCAACUGAUUUCACCGAAGCAAGAAUUUUAUCGAAACUCGAGCAAUCGUAAUUAUUUUUAUCUUCGCUGAGAAUGCAAAUAGCAUACAUUUUAUUUUUUUUUCAUCUUUUUCUAACGAGAUGAAUUUUAAUUUAAAAAAUUACAAUUUUAGGAAUUAAGAGUGUAAUAUUCUUCGAUUUAUCGUUUCGGCUACGAUUGCGUAAUUAAGUAGUUAAGGAAAACUUACAUGGAAUGUAACGUAUAUAUGGAAAAUCGAAAAAGAUUUAUGGCAAGCGAUAAUAAUAUGAAACGGCAAUAAUAAUUUCGUAAGCACGUGGAACGGCGACACGCUCGACUACGCGGUUCGCUGCAAAAUAUAACCGAACGCGUUUCCUCUUUUCUAUAGCUCGAAGCGAAUAUCACGUAGCGGCACUCGAAUCGCUUAUGGCAUUGUUCGUCAGUAGAGUGCGACGAGAUCGAAGCCGAUGCGGCGUCGUCAAAAGAAAUGGUUUCUGGCCAGUCCAAACUCAUCGUGGUUAUCGAUUCUACUUCACUAACCCCUCUUGUCUUUACUUCCUCUAGAAUAUAUUUUAACUUACUUUUUGUCCGUACUUCACGAGGAUAUUCCCCAUUGUUGCGUAGACCAGGUGUGAGAGAAAAUUUCACUGCAAAAAAAAAAAAAAAAAAAUGGAGCGUCAUUCUCGUCCAGGUAUCAACAGUGCAUUUGAUAUUCGAGCAACGAUGUAAGUUUCAACAAAACUAGUUUCUUCGACUCGAUCUACAUUUUUCUUUUUUUUUUUUUCUUUUUUUUUUUUACUCGUCGAGAGAUAAGAACUCGUAAGAACUCGUUGUUAUUAGAAUAUAGGUAAAAUAAUGGUAUAAUGAAAAACAUAUAUGAGAGUAUUUCUUGUCCGAUAAUUGCGAAAUUGAUGAAAUCAUUCGAAACGAUCCUCGACUAUAACGAACGUGCGAUUAGAAUAAUUCAAGCCAAUUGGAGUUGAACGGUUUAAACAACGAUGUGUUAUUUUAUGCAAAUUGCGUCGUAAUGCAACUGGCUUUCGUUUCCGUGCUAUCAAUUUGGAUCGACGAGAGAGAGCAGAAGAAUGCUCUCUCGGAGCAAGAAAGCGCUCUUAUCGGUUCAAGAUGAGCCGAAUCGACCGCGUGCGAGCUGGCUAUCGACGAUACGAACGCAAUAAAAGGCACUUGGCCACGGCUGCAUCGGGCAGCUGCUGCUGCUGCUGCAUUCACGCGUUCCAUCCACGACCAGCUGAUUGCAAUUCCUUUUCUGCAUUCACACUUUAUAUCAGUGUAAAAUAUAACGAACCUUUAAACCAUAUAGGUGCAAAAUUUCCUUCCUGGAAAUUCUGAACCGGUGCACCAUUGCACUCAUUGUGUACCGCUUAUCUUCAUGAAAUAUUAAUUCAUUCUUCGGCUUCGAUUUCCUUUAAUCCUUACCUCAAACGGUAAUUCGAAAGUUCGUGAAACAGUGGCAGAAUGCAGUUCUCCGAGUGAUACAGGAAGUUCGUACAGUUUCCGUGGGAACAUUGUUUCGCCAUUACUCUCUCUCUCUCUCUCGUGCAGAUUAAAAAGUGGAAUCGCGUGACGUUAAACAGCGGCGACCUAUUUUUCUGUGAGAAAAAUCUUUAGCGCUUCAUUUUUUUUCUCCCCCCUCCAUUUCUUUCUAAUCUUUCAUCUAAACAUUCGAGGAUUAUUUUUUCUUCUUCUUUUUUCGGCAUCAGGGUUUUCAGCUAGAAUUCAUAAUUACAACGGACUUGUAUAAGUUCACGUUGCACAGAGAUUGUGUGCUCCUUCCAGAACCCUUGUUCCACGUUGCGCUGUUCGUUUUGCGUGGUGCAUACCGGUUCUGGACGAUCAAUAAAAAGGAUAGAGAACCACAGAUAGUUCGCACUCGGCCAUUUCUUCUUGCGGGCAGACGAAAAAAGACUCUGUCCCAGAAAUUUCUCGAUCCGUCCCGUCCUCGAGUGUGCAUAGUUGAUCGAGUCGUUGAUCGCUCGUUUCGAAGCUGAGAAAUCCUGUUCGAUAUUUGCUGAAAGAUGUAAUUUAAUUGAGAAGGGAAGGUGUUUCAUUAACAGAAGUCAGUCAGUCAAGACAAUUAUCGAUGAUGCAUCGCGCACUCCUUUUACGGGAUAAUGAUUCAAUUAAAAGUGCAUCAUCACGGUUGGUAACGCGUGUUUCUCCCCUCGUCGAUCCCUCGAAAAAAAGAGGCGAGCUUAAUCGCGUAAACGAGGCAGCCUUACGUUUCGUUUGUUCGAUAUUUCGAACAGUUUUAACAGGUUUAUCGGAUGCGGCGAAUAGGGUUUUAUUGCUAGGUUAACGCUCAAUGAUAGGAUAACGGCGAUACGAUUAAAUGAAUGAGAUCGCGGGAUAACCCCAUUCACAAUUUUAUCUUUAAUCUUCCGUCAGGUUGUUGGCCUGCGAACCAAGUGAGAAGAGCAGGCCCUCUUACGAAGAGAUGUUCGAUUUUAUUAGGCUGAUAUCUGGAUUCGAAACACGGCAAAUUCUUUGCAAAUAAUCACAGAAUCGUAGAAAAGAUUAUUAAUUUUUCCUUUAUUAGCAAAGCUCUGUUAUGCUUCGAUACUUGAACUUGCGCGUUUAAGAAUUUUUAAGAAUAACGCUAAUAAACGAAUCGGUGUGGAAUUAGAUGGGAAAAAUUCACUCGGAACGAAGUCUCAUCGGUUUCGUUCGAAAAGCAAGGAACGUGGGGGCGCUAUAGUCAAUUUUAUGCCCGCUAGCCGGAUUAAUAUCUGGAACGUAACAGGUUCUUUUAUGGUUACCCCUUCGCUCCCGCCUCCUCGUAUAAUUUAUCGCAUUCGCGUGGGUGCGUAUACAGUCUCGCGACAUACAGGCAACCUGCAUCCCGAGUCGCUUUCCCUUUUUCGGAAAUCCGGUUCCCCGCUUCCUUCCCUCCGAUCCUAACCCAGCGGAGGAGGGAAAGAGACGACAGAAGAGAAGCUCGCACACACGUCCGCCUUUUUCGUCACUUGGAGUAUUCUUUCGCGUUUUUUUUUCUUUUUUUUUUCGAAUAAAAAUCGACGAUCGAUCCCCAGAAUCUGGGAUUUCCCCUCGAGGGGAAUUUUUCUCGCCCUUCACUGCAAUUUUAAUUGAAAAGAGGGUAGGACUCGUUAGCGAGAAUUUUAAUUGGGGGUGAACGAAUUAAAAUGAGGAAUCUUUUUUUUUUUUUUGUUUUUGUUGAGAGAAAGGUGAUAAAUCGUGGCUUCGUAUAGACGAAGCGCAUAGCGUACGGGGGAAGACAGCUGCAGACAAUAACGCAAUAACGAAUGAUAAUUAAUCGUUGCCUCCGAGAGCAAUGAUUACAGCUGCUCCGGUAAUUUACGAUUAAAGAUUAUUUGACGCUGAAAUAACUCGUGUAAUCGUAACCCGAUUUUAUAAUUCUAUUCGAAGAUAAUUAUAUAUUCUCCUCUGUCGUCUCUUCUGUUUAAUAAAAUACCAUUAUUCCAAUAUUGUUCAAUUGUUCUUUAGCAUAUGUGUAAUUAAUUCUAAACACAUUCGAUAACAUGCAAUCGAUGUUUGAUAUACAUAUAUAUAUAUUAUUUCACGUAGUUUGUAAGAGGAAAUAACAAUGAUAGAACGACAAAUAAAUUGUUUCACGAAUUACCAAGAAUGGUAAUUCUUAUACUCGUUUAUUUGUCGUUUUCCGUAUCUUAUUUAAACGUGUUAAUUUAAACGAAAAUGUAGACGCUCGCAAAACAUUUUCGAUCAUUAUAUAGAACCACCCUAGUGUUCUUAUAUAGCUCAGCAAUAUGAUAAUGUACAAAUGCACGCAAUGUUUAGUCACUACAUACUCGUCAUACAUCGGCAACAAACGGCGCACGAAAAUAACAAGUUUCUCUCACUCAUUAACACAUAAUCAUUGACCAGAAAUGUAUCUGUACACUUGCACGUAAUUCCAAAAUGGCACGAGCGAUCAUUCGUACUGUCUCUCCCUUUGUGUUAUAUAUCGUCGAACGAGCCCCAAUGAUUCAUAUGAUUCUCUUUCAAGCCGAUUUUCAUUCAUUUUUUUCCCCGAGUCGUUACAACGAGAACAAGAUUCAAGCUCGAAAAGUGCGCUCGCGUUUCGUAAGAAUUUCUCGAGCGCCGCAAGAAUGCCGUGUCACGGACCUCGAGCUCAAUUUAUCCACUCGAAAUUUGCAAUUCGAAAUUUUUAAACGAGGCCGACACUCCUCCCUUCGAACGGAAACGAAACUCAACUUAGGAGAAGGAAGCGAGACUCGAUGAGCCAUGCGAGUGCGAGAGCGACGAUGGAUUCAAAUUUAUGCGAGUUCCUUUUUUUUCCCUUUUCCCUUUCCUUCCCUUUCUUUUUUCUCUUACCCUUUAGUCAUCGUCAAAUCUCCGUGUGCACGGUCAAAAGAUAGGAUAGCCUCGCUGUCUCGCGAUUCUGGGUCGCGAACGUGUGCCCACGCUCAAUUUAUGCAAGUUGGUAUCAGAGGCUGGAAAGUAGCCCCAAUUGACUCUAAUUUUUCGAGUUCCUUCAUUAAAAUUAUUCCUCAACUCGACUGAUGGAAGGAAGGAACAGAAGAGAGACUCUUUUCGAAAGAAAGUCGACGUUUUAUUAGAAUUUUCGGAAUCAUCAUCGAAUAUUUAAAAUCCUGUUUUUUUUUUCUUUUAAAGAACCGCGCACGGAAUACAAUUUCAUCGUUGAGCGCGAAUCCGCGUUCGACACGCAAACGUCUGGAAAGUAAUUAAGCUCUCGCGAAUCAUACUAAUAACGGUGCUCAUCGCCGGGUCGUUAUUACGCAUUCUUCCGUUGCACGGGUGCACGCCUUUUUUAUUUCCUGCCACCGACCGACUCCACUCAGAUCCACCGUAUUUCAUCGAUAAAAAUAACGCCCGACCGAAAUUUCCAAAACUGAUCGACGAAUAAGUACGAGGAUUUGUCCCAGGAAUUUAAAAAACAUCCUCAAGAGGAGGGAAUUCGCCGAGAGAUAUCUCUGAAGAAGGAAGCGACAAUCGUCUCUCUUUCUCCCUCUCGAUGAUACGGUUCUCCAUCCGCGUUAUUUAUAAGUGAUUUUCAAUUCUCGUGGCAAUGUAUUGUCGCAGCGAGGAGGGGGGGUAUCUGGUUAUCGAGGUGAAAGUCCGCUAAUGAAUUCGCUCGUUCCUCCCCGCGGUAUUUCCGCGUUUCGUCCCGUCCUGAAAACUUACUCGUCCGUCGAAGAAGCAUAUUUUUUUUCUCCUUUCCUCGGCCUCGAGAAUGGAGAGCUCGUACGAGCUUCCGUUCGUACGGAUCGAAGGGAAUAAUCUGCUCGCCAAUGGUCCGCCGUUGGCAAAGUUAAUUGUUAUUCCUGCCGCGUGGCGAAACAAUGCUUGCGAUUUCCUCGCGCCGCUUCAUUAGAAUCGUUUAGGCAACGGUGACGAACGUUACGCGAUAUAUUGUCUUACUGGUAAUAUCGACGUAGCUUCCUUCGAGAUGAAGGCCGUUGGAAAAAAAAGAAAUCGACGCGGUUGCGGAAGAAGAAAGAAAAUUCGUAAAAGCGAAUCUUUCGAAGGCAGAAGUGCGAAUAAUCCGGUUUGGUAAAAAUAGUUCGGAAGAUUGGUAGAAAGUAAAACUUUCUUUCGUUCGAGCGAACGUGUAAACACGAUCAUCAUCUACGUGUCCACCUACAUGGACAAUGAAAUGAGUCACGUUCCAAGUAGGGGGGAACGGAAUCAUCGAUCAAUCAUUCGUUCGACGUUGGUAUUUAAAAGUCUUUCAUUCCUUUCGUGGCGUAUUUAAAUAACACGAAUGUAAUAAAAAUAUACAUUCUUUAAAUAUUAUGUAACUCGGAAAAAAAAAAUCCAUUCAAGUUGCUAUUCAAUUUUCGAGAUAUUCGCAGAAAGAGAUUAAGUAGGGAAGAAAUUUUCUUUUUUAAUUACAGAGAUGAAAAUCGUCUCGAUAUUUUUGAUCGCUCCAAAGUUCAAUCCAAUCCUCAUCCCGAACUUUCUCGUCUAUCUUAAUUGCGGCGCGAUCGUUCGAAAGAACAAAAAAAAAAAACAAAAGCCGGCUUUCUUGGCUGAGUCAAGAAGUCCAGUCCAGUCCAGUUUCGCGGGGGAUUGAUUAAUCGUUCGUUUCCAAUGUAAACGAAACCGCGCGAAAAGAAGAAGAAAAAGAAGAAAAAGAAGAAGAAGAAGAAGAAAGAAAGAAAGAAAAAUAAAAGAGGCAGAGUUCCGAAAGCAGUAGAGAAGCCGGCGUUCUCCUAAUUUAGCUGACACAAUUUUUCUCGGCGAUCGUCGCGACGCUGCAACGCCGUUUCCCUUUUGGUACGCGUCGUCGUCGUCGUCGUCGUCGCCGCCGCCGCCGCCGCUGCGUCCCAAAGAGAGAGGGAUCGACGAUCGUGCACGCGGGGACGGGGGAGGGGAGGGGGAGAAGCACGGUUCAAAUGUCACUGUGGUUUAUUUUCGUUUAUAUAUAGAAACGAGAGAGAGUUCACCCGGUGUCACUUACCCCUGACUACCGGCGACACUUGGAGCGGCACGGUGAUUUUCGUGAAAAAGAGGGAUCCCUUUCCCGUGAUCCGCUCCCCGCGAUUCGAGCCAAUUCGUCCUCGUUGCUACGAUUUCGUCGUUUCGAAAAAGGCAAAAUAAAAUAAUCAAUUUCGUUCGAUCUUUUCUCCUAAGUCAUCGUCGAUGAUGAAUUAAUCAGGGAGGAGGAUGGAGAGGGGUCGGAAAUAUUUGGAUUAUUUUACAUUUCGGCGAUGAGAAAUAUUGCUCGGGGCUUAAUUUAAGAAGCGCGAAGCUUGGAACGUAGGCAACAACCACCACCACCACCAUCGUCCAUCGUUGCGUGGAUUAUACCGUGCGGCUCGGUAUAACCGGAAGAUCGUCUUAAUGCCGGUAUUUAAACCGUGUCGCGGUUGGCAGUGGCUCUCUAUUUUAGGCUCGUCUCCCCUCGAUUUACCGUUCAUUUCGUAACUCAAUAUACUUUGCGAGCUCUCGACCACGACGUUUGGAUAGAGUUACCUAGCACCACCACGUUGGACGUCCGUGUCGUUCUCCUCCUCCUCCGAGGAGGAGAACGACACGGACUCGUCACUCGAAGCUCAAAGUGUUAUUUCGAUCUUUCGUUACUUCGAUCGAGAAGUAUAUACUCGUGGUAUAAUAUAAUAUUGAAUAAACAAUUCUUCAAAGAUCGAAUGGAUAGAAGCAAUUUUCGAUUUUAUUUCUCGUUUAAUCCUAAUUAACUGGAAUUCUCGGUAGAGAGGGUUCAAAUGUUUGCGCAAAAGUGCAUGCAAAUAACGCGUUACUAUGUUCGCGUAUAUUUAAUGUCUCCUCGGCUGACACCUUGCAAAAUCUUGUACAACCGUUCGACGUUCCGUUCACUCGGCAAACAGAGAUGGUAGGAGAAAUUCUCGGAGCCGAGGUUUUAUCCCGCAAAAUUCCAGAGGGGAAUCGAUAUAGGUAUAUCGUAUAAGUCUCGCCUUCUCCUCCGUGAAUGAUUUUUCUAGAUAGAAAGUAGUCGCUCGGAUAGAAGGACGAUAGGGGGAAGGGGGAGGGACGAUGUGUGUCGAAGAAGAAGGAACUCGAGGGGACGCGACUCGGCAUACUCGAUAAGUUGCUAUCUUUCCUCGACGGGCACAACGCGAUCCGCACAAUAAAUACGCUACCUACAGGUUGUCUCUCAGAGGAACGGGAAUAAAAUUCGAAUCGUAAUAAUACGUAAUUCUUUCUAUUUCUAGCAUUCGGCAUUGGCAAAGUUUUAAACAAGCCGCGCUUGUUUGCCAUAAUAUUUCAUUUAUUUGCGACCCACGUCGCAAAUCGGUUUAGUUACGUUUCAAUGUACGAAAACAUGCCACUUGGAGCGCCAACAUCGAGCCGAUAAGUUAUCACGUUCCCGGUCCCAGAAUCAUUAGUUAACCGCGGCGAGAUAAGCCCUCAGGUGUUUUUAUUUUCCUAUGCACAUUGCUUGCCGCGUUUUCUCCUCCGAUUGUUUGAAUGCAACACGCGCUAUAUUUACUCCGCCGUUCAAUCGAUAUUUAUGAAUGGAGUCGAUAAACCAAACGAUCCUUUCCAACAUUUUAUCCCUUCCCAAGCCCCUCCCCAACUCACUGUCCGCGACUAUAAACAGAGGCUGUUAUUCGUAAAUAUCGAUUGAUCGACUGGCUAAAACGGUAGAGGAGCAGUAGGCCCCGUUUUUUCGAUCGAAAAAGUGGUUAGAAGCCACUUUUAUCGACGCUCCCAACUCUGAGAAACUCCCGUUUAACUUUUCCGUCCCCAGCUGCACACCCCUUGAAUGGAACACACCACCACCGUCGGCUUACCAUAUUGCAUUUGAAUUCAUAGCUUCGCUCGCUGCAUUCCCAGACGGCAGCUCUUGUUUCACGCUAGUCAUGCGUGCGUCCCGACACGUAUUUAUGUCGUUCGAGGACUUUUUCGGUGACCAGGAUACAUUCGUUUCGGAUCAAACGAGCGAGAAGAGGCCCCCCUCGGUUCAGACGCGCGAGAAACACGCGACGUGGAAUUUUUUUCUCCCCCAACUACGUUUCAAACAACGUUUUAAUCGUUUCGUUGAAAAGAUUACCCCGUGUCGGGAAACCAGUCUCGUCCCAACGAAAGAAGAAUCUUCGUACGAAGAUGUUCACCCUGCGGUGGACUCUUCACUUUCCCCCGUUUACCGUGUUCGGCUAUUUCCGUGUACCGUGAAGGAAAUCGCUGCCCGUGAUUUAUGGAUCUGGUAAUUGAAACCGACAGGCAGUGUCAAGCCGGGGGAAAGCCGGGGGAAAGAGUGGAAGGUUUCUCGUGAGCGUGGAUCGGGUCGUCGACUAACGUUUCUUCCGUCAACACCAAAGAAACCGAGGAACAAAUAUUUAAAUUUCGAUUAAGAACGCGUGAACGUACGUACACUCUCGUGCACUCUUCGUGGAUUGAGAUUUUAAUUUCGAAGACAUUGCACGCGAGCUCUAGUAAAUAAAUAAAAAAUAUCAAAUAUUGGGGAUAGAAGAGAUAAUUGAAAAAAAAAAAAGACAGGAAGAGAGGAGGAAGAGAAAAAGAAAAGGGAAGGGUCCACCACCAGCUGGUUACAAAUGCCGUCAGCGUUAUUGAAGAGCGAGUCUUUGAAAAGGUCUGUCUCUCUUCUCGAAAGAGAGGGUUAUUAACCCUUCGAACUCCUCCUCGUCCGCGAUACUUUGCCGCUCUUACGAACGUGAAAUCGAACGCACGAGUCUUCUCUUCCGAUGCGUGAACUUCUGUGGAAAAUGGCACGCGUGCCAGACACGUGUUCGAGCCGCUAACCUCGUAUUUUUCUACCCCACUUCCGCCACUAAUAACACCUAUUCAUCACACGAUCUUCAAAAACUUUCCAAUACUUUUCGAUUCCACAUUUUCUUCCCCCCCGUUUCAUUCAUUCCUUGUUUUCUGCAAAUAACGUUUGCCCCUCCCCUUUUGUAAAACGAAAAAAGGAACCAUCUGGAUCCAUCCGCGUGCAUUUCUCGCUCUUCGCCGCAAAAAUCUUUCCCGAUCGUUUUUAUUUCCGUCGGAUUGCAAG
rnacentral:lncRNA from 1 species